rnacentral:rRNA from 1 species
CCUACGGGAGGCUGCAGUGAGGAAUAUUGGUCAAUGGACGAGAGUCUGAACCAGCCAAGUAGCGUGAAGGAUGACUGCCCUAUGGGUUGUAAACUUCUUUUAUAUGGGAAUAAAACGUUCCACGUGUGGGAUGUUGUAUGUACCAUAUGAAUAAGGAUCGGCUAACUCCGUGCCAGCAGCCGCGGUAAUACGGAGGAUCCGAGCGUUAGCCGGAUUUAUUGGGUUUAAAGGGAGCGUAGGUGGAUUGUUAAGUCAGUUGUGAAAGUUUGCGGCUCAACCGUAAAAUUGCAGUUGAAACUGGCAGUCUUGAGUACAGUAGAGGUGAGCGGAAUUCGUGGUGUAGCGGUGAAAUGCUUAGAUAUCACGAAGAACUCCGAUUGCGAAGGCAGCUCACUGGACUGCAACUGACACUGAGGCUCGAAAGUGUGGGUAUCAAACAGGAUUAGAUACCCCAGUAGUC